rnacentral:misc_RNA from 1 species
UUUCCGUAGGUGAACCUGCGGAAGGAUCAUUAAUGUGUUUGGGCCUCACGGCUCUUCAUUCCGACGCUGUGCGCCUUCGAGCUGCACGCUGAGGGAGCAUAUAUCCACCCCUGUGCACACACACGGUGGCGAGCUGGGUAACGGCUCGCCGCUGAUCUUUACACACGUCUAAAAGUCAUUGUAUGUUUAUUUGAGAUAAAAACACAACUUUCAGCAACGGAUCUCUUGGCUCUC